rnacentral:sRNA from 10 species
AGCAGCACGGGAGAGCGACCCGUUAGCUGGCAGACAAUCCAGUCCCCAUCCCACGGCAACUGUGGAUGGGACUGGCUUUCUGCGCUCUUCAGAUCUCUGAAAAGAGUUGGUGCAUUCGCACUAAAUCUUUGUAUUGCGACGAACUUGUUUGUAGCGGAUACCGCAUCGCUCGGGGGGAACGCUGUUCUCCUCGCGGUUCCGUCGCCCCA